AGCUUAUUACCGUUGAUGAGAUAUAUUCAAAAUUUCACUAAGUCUCGCGUCUCGACCGUUUCACUGCUUCUACUGUUUUUCUAUGACUGUUCUGUCUGACUGCAAGCCGGUAACUGGUUACUGUCUGAACGAUAACCGUGCACUCUGACUGCUAGGCGCUAACUGUGAUCUUUUCGUUUUACAAUUUUUGCAAAUGAUUUUUGCGUGUUACUGCGCAGGUCCGUCCACGCAUUAUGGUAGGGGCACGGAGCCAAUAGGAUUCUGGUAUCCUGAGUGGGAUAGAACAGCCCCACCUCUUCAAUCUGUUUCAGGCGCAGCAUUUUCAGAUUUUCCUGUCUGAUGACGCUGCUAUCGCAGCCGACUACCUGAUAGCUAUCGCUCACUCACUCGCUGUGGAGGGCAGCCAUAAUACGUGUAUUGCAGUUGCAGUGAAUAAUUUUGACAGGUGUGGUUAUGUUGCCCAUGGUUCGUAUGAGACUUAACGGUGUCAAACAGGAGUAAUGCAGUGUUAUUGAUAUAUUGGAAGGACAUUUCUCUGGGGUUGGUAUCAGAGCGUUCCGGUGGAAGGAUUAAUCUAUAAAAAAUAUUUUCAAUGCUGGACCACCUUGCUCGGAGAGGGAUUGGCAAUUAUGGAGAAUUUUGAAGGAUUUGAAGGUGUCAUGCUGAUACUUGCAGAGGCUGGAACUGGAGGCUAUUCUGUGUUUUAAUUAUCUGGGCUCUGCCCAUUUUUCCAAUCUCAUUUUAAUUGAUUUUGCAGAAGUGAGAGUGUUAAUUGAAGAGUUUUUCGUUGUCAGAUAACUUUAUCGAUUUUUAAUUCGUUUUACAGGCCUAUUUUUAAUUAUUCUUAUUGAAAAUUCAUGUUUACAGCUUGAGCUGGUAAUAGAUUAAUUUGUGAGCAGGUUUAAGUGUUUCUUAUUUAUUUAUUUCGAUGUUGUAAAAUUGCAAUUGU